rnacentral:rRNA from 1 species
UACGUAGGGAGCGAGCGUUGUCCGGAAUUACUGGGCGUAAAGGGCGUGUAGGCGGCCGAUCAAGUCAGGUGUGAAAUUCCAGGGCUCAACCCUGGACGUGCACUUGAAACUGGUUUGCUUGAGUGCAGAAGAGGAAAGUGGAAUUCCCAGUGUAGCGGUGAAAUGCGUAGAUAUUGGGAGGAACACCAGUGGCGAAGGCGACUUUCUGGUCUGUAACUGACGCUGAGGCGCGAAAGCUAGGGGAGCAAAC